GAAGCUACAGUAGUACAUAUUCUAAAACUGGAAAAGUACAGAGAAGAUUAGCAUGGGUCCCUGCGCAAGGUUGACAUGCAGAUUUGCAAAGCAUUCUAUAUUUUA
rfam:Octopus bimaculoides Scaffold40938_contig_32, whole genome shotgun sequence.